UGCAUGCGAGAAGUGCAUAAUAAAAAUAAAAGUGAGCUCAGUGAACUUUGAGUAAUCGAAGAUAACGAUAAGCACCACUCUCCCUGCUAUUUCCCUUGGCAAUUGCACAAUGCAAUCUAUUCUUGUGCAUGCCGGGUAUUGUAAUGGGCAGAGUUGUACCUACGCGAGCGAGUACUAUCUAUUCCUUAGUUGCACGAGCGCCCGACCCCCUCUGCGUCCUUGCUCAAUCUUCCGAUUAAUGCUUGCAUCAAGCCAGUGCAAUGUUGCGCUCCGCGCUGCAAAUGCAAAUACUUGACUUGUUAAAAGUGCUUUAAUGUGUACAACGCCAGUCGACAGGCUGCCAGUCAUAGCAUUCCAAUUAUCUGCAUGUUCACAUAUUAUAUUUUAAAAUUUAUAUCCCCUAUCUAAGCAUAGAGGUUUCCCCACACACACUACUGCCGGCCUCUAUUGGAGCUGCUGCACAUCCCCAGCCACACGUUCGGAGAUGCAGAUACAGAUACCGAGAUCUUUAUAUCAUUUUAUGGCGAUUAAGUGGUUGUGUUUUGAAUAAUAAAUACCUAUUUACAUUUUCUAUUUA